rnacentral:rRNA from 1 species
AUUGAACGCUGGCGGCAGGCUUAACACAUGCAAGUCGAGCGGGGUGAUGGUGCUUGCACUAUCACUUAGCGGCGGACGGGUGAGUAAUGCUUAGGAAUCUGCCUAUUAGUGGGGGACAACAUCUCGCAAGGGAUGCUAAUACCGCAUACGUCCUACGGGUGAACGCAGGGGAUCACCUGUGACCUUGCGCUAACAGAUGAGACUAAGUCGGAUUAGCUAGUUGGUGGGGUAAAGGCCUACCAAGGCGACGAGCUGUAGCGGGUCUGAGAGGAUGAUCCGCCACACUGGGACUGAGACACGGCCCAGACUCCUACGGGAGGCAGCAGUGGGGAAUAUUGGACAAUGGGGGGAACCCUGAUCCAGCCAUGCCGCGUGUGUGAAGAAGGCCUUAUGGUUGUAAAGCACUUUAAGCGAGGAGGAGGCUCUUUUGGUUAAUACCCAGAAUGAGUGGACGUUACUCGCAGAAUAAGCACCGGCUAACUCUGUGCCAGCAGCCGCAGUAAAAC